GACUUUUUCUAUAUACACAAAAGGCCUAUUUCUCUCAACUAUUGUUCACAAAUCUGUCUAAAUCUCCAAAUCUGCACAUUUUAGAGUAGCCUUUUAUUGUGGCCAGCCUAUGGCACACCUGUGCAAUAAUCAUGCUGUCUAAUCAGCAUCUUGAUAUGCCACACCUAUGAGGUGGAUGGAUUAUAUCAGCAAAGAAGAAGUUCUCACUAACACAGAUUUAGACAGAUUUGUGAACAAUAUUUGAGAGAAAUAGGCCUUUUGUGUACAUAGAAAAAGUC